rnacentral:rRNA from 1 species
GACGAACGCUGGCGGCGUGCUUAACACAUGCAAGUCGAACGGUGAAAGCGGAGCUUGCUCCGCUGGAUCAGUGGCGAACGGGUGAGUAACACGUGGGCAACCUGCCCCUGACUUCGGGAUAACUCCUCGAAAGAGGUGCUAAUACCGGAUACGAAGCCUGCAGGCAACUGCGGGAUUGGAAAGUAGUUCGGUCAGGGAUGGGCCCGUGCCCAGGCAGGUGGUUGGUGAGGUAGUGGCCCACCAAGGCGACGACGGGUAGCCGGCCUGGGAGGGAGACCGGCCACACUGGGACUGAGACACGGCCCAGACUCCUACGGGAGGCAGCAGUGGGGAAUAUUGCGCAAUGGGCGAAAGCCUGACACAGCAACGCCGCGUGAGGGAUGACGGCCUUCGGGUUGUAAACCUCUUUCAGCAGGGAAGAAGCGAAAGUGACGGUACCUGCAGAAGAAGCACCGGCUAACUACGUGCCAGCCGCCGCCGUAA